rnacentral:rRNA from 1 species
UACGAAGGGGGCUAGCGUUGCUCGGAAUUACUGGGCGUAAAGCGUGCGCAGGCGGUUAUGUAAGACAGGGGUGAAAACUCGGGGCUUAACCCUGGGCCUGCAGUGGGUACGGGCAGACUAGAGUGCGGUAGGGGAGACUGGAAUUCCUGGUGUAGCGGUGAAAUGCGCAGAUAUCAGGAGGAACACCGGUGGCGAAGGCGGGUCUCUGGGCCGAUACUGACGCUGAGGAGCGAAAGCAUGGGUAGCGAACAGG